rnacentral:rRNA from 1 species
GAUGAACGCUGGCGGCGUGCCUAAUACAUGCAAGUCGAGCGAACAGACGAGGAGCUUGCUCCUCUGACGUUAGCGGCGGACGGGUGAGUAACACGUGGAUAACCUACCUAUAAGACUGGGAUAACUUCGGGAAACCGGAGCUAAUACCGGAUAAUAUAUUGAACCGCAUGGUUCAAUAGUGAAAGACGGUUUUGCUGUCACUUAUAGAUGGAUCCGCGCCGCAUUAGCUAGUUGGUAAAGUAACGGCUUACCAAGGCAACGAUGCGUAGCCGACCUGAGAGGAUGAUCGGCCACACUGGAACUGAGACACGGUCCAGACUCCUACGGGAGGCAGCAGUAGGGAAUCUUCCGCAAUGGGCGAAAGCCUGACGGAGCAACGCCGCGUGAGUGAUGAAGGUCUUCGGAUCGUAAAACUCUGUUAUUAGGGAAGAACAAAUGUGUAAGUAACUAUGCACGUCUUGACGGUACCUAAUCAGAAAGCCACGGCUAACUACGUG